rnacentral:rRNA from 1 species
GACGAACCUUGCUAACGUUAUUCGGAAUUACUGGGCUUAAAGGGUGCGUAGGCGGUGCAGAAAGUUGGGUGUGAAAGCCCUCGGCUCAACCGAGGAAUUGCGCCCAAAACUGCUGCACUAGAGGAAGACAGAGGUACGCGGAACUUAGGGUGGAGCGGUGAAAUGCGUUGAUAUCGAGAAGAACACUUAGGGCGUAGGCAAGACUCUGGACAAAUGCUGACGCUCAUGCACGAAGGCUAGGGUAGCGAACGGG